GAAAAUGGUUUAUCAACUAAUAAAUGUCAUAAUGAUAAGUAUAGGAGGAAAAUACAGGAAUUAAAGACACAACAAAGGACGGCUCAAAAGUAUCUUUCUCAAUCCAGUGAGGCUUUGCUCCAGUCUGUGGCUUUUGCAUUCAGUCAUAAUGUUACUGAGGUUCUGGCUCUUGCCAGUUUGGAAAUGGCUGAGUGCUUUCGACAGUUUGAUCCAAUUUCAACUAGCCAGUUUUUGGCACUUCAUCAGAGUUGUUCAGUAUCUAUGGUGAUGAAGAAUAUCCUUCUAACUGCUACGUCC
rnacentral:lncRNA from 1 species